rnacentral:sRNA from 1 species
AGCAAUGCAACUUUCAAGCAGUAUGGUGAUUGAGAUGUCGUAUGUCGAGUAAGAACAUGUGGAAAAGAGGAAGGAAAAGAAGGAAAAUGGAAAUGGAAAUUAACGCAGACAAAUAAAUCAGGUACAGGCGGGCAACUAUUAACAAUACUAUUGGCAACGAAGAAAACAGAUAAUAGGCGUGGAUUCUCACAUUUCGCAACAUUAGUCGGGCAAAAUAAUGGAUGGAUCUAGCACAGAACGAUGUGAACAUCGAUAGAAGAUGAGGAAUAACAAAUAACAGGGGAGAGGAUUAACGUGGGCUAGGCCACCGAGGCCAACAGAAGGGGAUCGGGGAUCGGGGAACCUUGAAUAAAAGAGAAAAAAAAGAAAAGGUAAAAUAUCCCGACACUCUGGAUAAGAGACAGACAAACAGAAAAAAUGGUCAACAAAUAAGGCGCAGAAGGCGAUAAAAUUAGGGGUAAAAAACCAAUAGAAUUAAUAACCGCAUGCAUGAUGAUGUAUGACCCUGUCUGCAGGAUGAGCCUAGUCUCGUGCAUUAGCGCAUUCAAUGGUGUCAACUUCUUUCACCAUUUCACAAUGCGUUGUGGAAAAAAUUCAUCGAUUAGCUCAAGGUAGUAAGGCUGCGUGUUUCGAGCAAAGUUAGAACUUUUCUGAUAGAUCACAUUCUCCUCUCAAUGGCGAUCAAAGAAGUGGAAAAUCGACAUACCUUCAGCUUUUCGAUCUCGGGAACGUCGUCGCUCUUGCUAUACAGAUCGUACGGAUUGAAAGCCUUGACUGCCUCAAGCAUACGUUCAUCGUCAUCGUUCAUCAGGUGUCGAUAUGCGCCAGCUGCGUGCCAGGGGUAAAAUGAAUGAUAGCGAAUCAUAGCCAGCGCCUCCUUUGGAAGGGUUGAUUGGGUUUUCACGACAUUGUACAGGUACUCAUCAUGGCCCCAGGAGAGCAUCACAUUAUCAAGGCCGCAGUUUGGGUAAUAUAUGCCGAAUUUGGUCCCAUAUAUUUGGUUCCCAAAGUCGGGGUUGUUUGCGAAUGUUUCAGGAUAGAUAAUUCGCUCAUCGAAGGCGCAUCCAACCGGGAAUGUAUCUCCAACCACAUCCCAUUGGCCUUCUGCACCGAAAAAGAAGAGAAGCUUGCCCA